UACGUAGGGGGCAAGCGUUGUCCGGAAUCAUUGGGCGUAAAGCGCGUGUAGGCGGCCCGGUAAGUCCGCUGUGAAAGUCCAGGGCUCAACCCUGGAAUGCCGGUGGAUACUGUCGGGCUCGAGUCCGGAAGAGGCGAGUGGAAUUCCUGGUGUAGCGGUGAAAUGCGCAGAUAUCAGGAGGAACACCGAUGGCGAAGGCAGCUCGCUGGGACGGUACUGACGCUGGAGACGCGAAAGCGUGGGGAGCAAAACAGG
rnacentral:rRNA from 1 species